GCAGUUGGCCGGCUUGUCGCGUGCGCGCUUGGCGUGCAGGAGGAAAGUCCGGGCAACACAGAGCGUCCCACUUCCUAACAGAAAGCUGUCCGCGAGGGUAGAGUAACGUAGAAGAAAAGAACCGCCAACCCGUCGCCCGCAAGGAUGGCGGGAGGUAAGGGUGAGAAGGUGGGGUAAGAGCCUACCGGCCGCGUGGCGACACGUCGGGCCGUACGUCUUGGGAGUUGCAAGGUCAUGUAAACCGGCGUUAUGAGAGCUGCUCGCUCCAUGUCGGAGGGUAGACCGCUAAAGCGACGUGGCGACGCGCCGCUCAGAUAAAUGACAAGCGCCUUAUUCUAUACAUUAAGGUACAGAACCCGGCUUACAGGCCGACUGCUUUC
rnacentral:RNase_P_RNA from 1 species